rnacentral:rRNA from 1 species
UCAAGCUAAUAAGAGCUAUUGGUGGAUGCCUUGGCAUCGAGAGGCGAUGAAGGACGCGCAUACCUGCGAUAAGCUCCGGGGAGCUGGAAAGAAGCAUUGAACCGGAGAUUUCCGAAUGGGGAAACCCAGUGAAGUUAAUCCUUCACUAUUCCUAGCUGAAUACAUAGGCUGGGAAGGCAUACCUGCUGAAUUGAGACAUCUAAGUAGGCAGAGGAAAAGAAAUCAAAAGAGAUUCCCGUAGUAGCGGCGAGCGAAGUGGGAAUAGCCCAAACCGAAAAUUUAUUUUCGGGGUUGUAGGGCUAAUCAUUAAAAUUUAAGGAAACCUAGCAUAACCUUCUGGGAAGUUGGACAAUACAGGGUGAAAGUCCCGUGUGCAAAGGGGGACCUUAAGUGAGAUUAGUUCCUGAGUAGGGCCGGACACGUGAAACCCGGUCUGAACCUGGGGAGACCACUCUCCAAGGCUAAAUACUCUCGAUGACCGAUAGUGUACAAGUACAGUGAUGGAAAGGUGAAAAGAACCCCUGUUAGGGGAGUGAAAUAGAA